AAAAGCAGAAAGGAUGUGACCAACUGUGUCAAAUGCUGCUGAGACGUAAAACAUGAUGAAGUCCAAGAAUUGACUGGAGGGUCUGGAUGGCCGAUACUAGGCAUGCAUGUGCAUACAGAAAAGAGAGUAACCCAAUAGUGAGGAAGAAAUUGAUGCUGCAGGAGAGAGGGAAUAAUUGCCGAAGCAAAGAUCUUGAGGUACUGAGAAAGGAUGACCCUAAUUUCCUUAAUGCUGCAGCCUGCUUCCACUGAGGGACUGGAGGCUCCUUGAGCAAAAUUAUCUACCUCUUCACCUUUGGAUCUUUCACAGUUCCCAGUUCGGUGUACUACAGAUUGUACUUGCUAAAUAAAAAAU
rnacentral:lncRNA from 1 species